AUUGACUAUCAAGUCAAUUCAAAUUGACUAUCAAGUUAAUAUCAAUAUAUCUAAUAUCAAUUAGUAUGUGUGGUAUUACAAUUUGUACUCCUGUGUUUCCUUCUGUGGGAUAGGGUGUUUGGUUGUUAUUGCAAUUUUCACUUUUUGUAUUUUUCUUGUCAUCAUUGUCAUCGAUGUGUUUCAUUAACUGAAGUUGCAGGAAUCCCUUUACAAAUUGAAACUUUACUUAGUCUACCUUCACUUCAUAUAUUUAACAACCCAACCAAGAUCAAAGCGAGAACCUGUCAACGCUAAUAAAAUUACUAAAUCUGAAACCACAACAACAAAAGCUCAACUAAUCGUUUUGGCUCAGAUUUCAGAAUAUCUAAAAGAUACUCCUUACCACAGUCUAUGGUCCAUUCAGCAAGAUGCUGUUCUCGAGCUACUUUUGUUAUGAUGAUACUUUCAAUCCUUUUGAGUACAUACCUGUCACUAUCCAAACUGUUGCCUCAUAAGGGUCCAUAAAUUCAUAGAUUGACCUUUAGCGAUGGGUUCGCUAAGGAGUUUGUGUGUGAUCCUCAGGAAUAUUCUUUGUGUUGAAUAAUAAUGCGUUGUUUAUUGCAACGAUGUUUAUUGAUCACUGACAUUGACAUGGACACAGGGCGAAAGGAAAGUAUCGGGGAGUUGUGUGAACGAAUUGCCAGGAUGCACGCGGACUACUCACCAGGAUAUAUGAAACUGAGCUCUCGAGUCAGGGUGCUCGGGCUAUUUAAGAGCGCCCUGGCAUAUUUACCUCUCGUGAGCCUUCCCAGAAGAUGCACUACCUAACAUAGUAAACGUAUAUCUCCACAGAUGAUAUUCCCACAUCUGGUAGGCCUUUCUCGGUAUUCGAAACCUAAAUCUACAAUUUCAAAAGACCUCAAACCACAAUUCUGGCAAUACGACAAUUUCAAAAGACACCCAAUCUUAAGCCCCUGUUCUCUUCUAACAGACAAUUCCGGGACUACGACAAUUUCAAAAGACACCCAAUCUUAAGGUAAUUAAUAUAUUUAAAAUGU